rnacentral:piRNA from 1 species
GUUUCCAGAGCUAGUGCCAGGAUAGG